rnacentral:rRNA from 1 species
UAAGGAAUAUUGGUCAAUGGACGCAAGUCUGAACCAGCCAUGCCGCGUGAAGGAUGACGGCCCUAUGGGUUGUAAACUGCUUUUGUGCAGGAAGAACGCUCCCUACGAGUAGGGAAUUGACGGUACUGCAUGAAUAAGCAUCGGCUAACUCCGUGCCGGCAGCCGCGGUAAUACGGAGGAUGCAAGCGUUAUCCGGAUUCAUUGGGUUUAAAGGGUGCGCAGGCGGAAUGAUAAGUCAGUGGUGAAAUCCUACAGCUUAACUGUAGAACUGCCAUUGAUACUAUCGUUCUUGAGUACAUUUGAAGUGGGCGGAAUGUGUCAUGUAGCGGUGAAAUGCUUAGAUAUGACACAGAACACCGAUCGCGAAGGCAGCUCACUAAGUUGUAACUGACGCUCAGGCACGAAAGCGUGGGGAUCAAACAGG